rnacentral:rRNA from 1 species
AUGCACGCUGGCGGCGUGCCUAAUACAUGCAAGUCGAGCGAACAGACGAGGAGCUUGCUCCUCUGACGUUAGCGGCGGACGGGUGAGUAACACGUGGAUAACCUACCUAUAAGACUGGGAUAACUUCGGGAAACCGGAGCUAAUACCGGAUAAUAUAUUGAACCGCAUGGUUCAAUAGUGAAAGACGGUUUUGCUGUCACUUAUAGAUGGAUCCGCGCCGCAUUAGCUAGUUGGUAAGGUAACGGCUUACCAAGGCAACGAUGCGUAGCCGACCUGAGAGGGUGAUCGGCCACACUGGAACUGAGACACGGUCCAGACUCCUACGGGAGGCAGCAGUAGGGAAUCUUUCGCAAUGGGCGAAAGCCUGACGGAGCAACGCCGCGUGAGUGAUGAAGGUCUUCGGAUCGUAAAACUCUGUUAUUAGGGAAGAACAAAUGUGUAAGUAACUAUGCACGUCUUGACGGUACCUAAUCAGAAAGCCGCGGCUAACUACGUG